UCGAACUCCGGUCCGGAAGCCGUGGUAAGACGGGGGUGUGUAGUGUUAUCCGGAGGUAUUGGGUUUAAAGGGUCCGUAUGCGGACGUAUAAGUCAGUGGUGAUAGCCUGUCGCUUAACGAUAGAACUGCCAUGGAUACUGUAAGUCUUGAGUAUAAUUGAGGUAGCUGGAAUAAGUAGUGUAGCGGUGAAAUGCAUAGAUAUUACUUAGAACACCAAGUGCGAAGGCAGGGUACCAAGUUAUAACUGACGCUGAGGGACGAAAGCGUGGGGAGCGAACAGGAUUAGAUACUCGAGUAGUC
rnacentral:rRNA from 1 species